rnacentral:rRNA from 1 species
CCUACGGGUGGCAGCAGUAGGGAAUAUUGCUCAAUGGGGGAAACCCUGAUGCAGCAACGCCGCGUGGAGGAUGAAGGUUUUCGGAUUGUAAACCCCUUUUGUUAGAGAAGAUAAUGACGGUAUCUAACGAAUAAGCACCGGCUAACUACGUGCCAGCAGCCGCGGUAAUACGGAGGGUGCAAGCGUUACUCGGAAACACUGGGAGUAAAGGGCGCGUAGGCGGGAUAGCAAGUCAGAUGUGAAAUCCUAAGGCUUAACCAUAGAACGGCAUUUGAAACUGUUAAUCUAGAGUGUAGGAGAGGUAAGUGGAAUUCUUGGUGUAGGGGUGAAAUGCGUAGAGAUCAGGAGGAAUACUCAUGGCGAAGGCGACCUACUAGAACAUAACUGACGCUGAGGCACGAGAGCGUGGGGAGCAAACAGGAUUAGAUACCCUUGUAGUC